AGUGAACGCUGGCGGUAGGCCUAACACAUGCAAGUCGAACGGCAGCACAGUAAGAGCUUGCUCUUACGGGUGGCGAGUGGCGGACGGGUGAGGAGUACAUCGGAAUCUACUUUUUCGUGGGGGAUAACGUAGGGAAACUUACGCUAAUACCGCAUACGACCUACGGGUGAAAGCAGGGGAUCUUCGGACCUUGCGCGAUUGAAUGAGCCGAUGUCGGAUUAGCUAGUUGGCGGGGUAAAGGCCCACCAAGGCGACGAUCCGUAGCUGGUCUGAGAGGAUGAUCAGCCACACUGGAACUGAGACACGGUCCAGACUCCUACGGGAGGCAGCAGUGGGGAAUAUUGGACAAUGGGCGCAAGCCUGAUCCAGCCAUACCGCGUGGGUGAAGAAGGCCUUCGGGUUGUAAAGCCCUUUUGUUGGGAAAGAAAGGCAGCAGGUUAAUACCCCGCUGUUCUGACGGUACCCAAAGAAUAAGCACCGGCUAACUUCGUG
rnacentral:rRNA from 1 species